rnacentral:rRNA from 1 species
UACGUAGGCAGCAAGCGUUGUUCGGAAUUACUGGGCGUAAAGAGUGUGUAGGCGGUUCUCUAAGUUCCGUGUGAAAUCUCCCGGCUUAACUGGGAGGGUGCGCGGGAAACUGGAGGGCUGGAGUAUGGGAGAGGAAAGCGGAAUUCCUGGUGUAGCGGUGAAUGCGUAGAUAUCGGGAGGAACACCAGUGGCGAAGGCGAUUACCUGGGGUGAAUCUGGCGCUGAGGAACGAAAGCUAGGGGAGCAAACGGG